AUCCCAGAUCAGCUGCUGUGAUACGGGAUAAAGAUAGGUGCCCUGGGCAGUGGAGAAAGCGGUGUGCUUCCACGUGAGCCCCUGUUCUGAAAUCACUGGUCGUGAGGGUUUUAUAUGAUUUGAGGUUAUCGUGGGCAUCGUCUCCUGGGUGAAGCUUUGGAAGUGCUUGAGACGGAGAAAAUAUUGAAAGGAAUUCAGUCAACAUUCUGGGACUAGUGUAAUUUUGAACAAUCAAGCAUAAUGGCGAGAUCAAGCCUGAAGUCAUUCUGCACGAUUUGUAAUGCUGUGAAAUUAUAAAAAAGGGAAUGAGAAAUAUGUGAUGGUGGCAUGGAGGUAAGGAUGUGGGAAGCUUGAAUUCCACUUCUAUCCCCUCUGACCUUACUGAUAAUGCAAAUCAUUUUAUUAUGUCAAAAUAGCUGAGGUGAAAUAACCUAGUUUUCCUAAGAAAGGAAUUUCCAGUUUCAUCACAGAAAAGGAUACGUUUUGCAUUUGGAAUGUCUGAGAGUAUCUGAAGUGUUGUCGCAUUAAAAUUCAUCAUCAGAAUUAAUUCACAUUCAUUUCAUUAAGAACCGAGUCACCUGGGUUGAAUUUGUGUGGGGAAUCAUAAAAAAGGAUAAUGAGAAAUGACAGCAGGUCUGCAGAGUGGCCAGUGAGGACUACUCAUAGAUCUAAUCUUUUUUCUUUUUUCUUAACUUUCCAUUUGGUGUUUGGAGAUUAUUUGGU